rnacentral:rRNA from 2 species
CCUGAUGUGGGGGAUAACCAUUGGAAACGAUGGCUAAUACCGCAUGAUGCCUACGGGCCAAAGAGGGGGACCUUCGGGCCUCUCGCGUCAGGAUAUGCCCAGGUGGGAUUAGCUAGUUGGUGAGGUAAGGGCUCACCAAGGCGACGAUCCCUAGCUGGUCUGAGAGGAUGAUCAGCCACACUGGAACUGAGACACGGUCCAGACUCCUACGGGAGGCAGCAGUGGGGAAUAUUGCACAAUGGGCGCAAGCCUGAUGCAGCCAUGCCGCGUGUAUGAAGAAGGCCUUCGGGUUGUAAAGUACUUUCAGUCGUGAGGAAGGGGGUAUCGUUAAUAGCGGUAUUCUUUGACGUUAGCGACAGAAGAAGCACCGGCUAACUCCGUGCCAGCAGCCGCGGUAAUACGGAGGGUGCGAGCGUUAAUCGGAAUUACUGGGCGUAAAGCGCAUGCAGGUGGUUCGUUAAGUCAGAUGUGAAAGCCCGGGGCUCAACCUCGGAAUAGCAUUUGAAACUGGCGGACUAGAGUACUG